UAAGAAUGAAGCAAUCUGCAAUCAGUUUCGGCCUGAUCCCUUGGACCCCCCCCCAUUCUUAU
rnacentral:tRNA from 1 species